rnacentral:lncRNA from 10 species
AGUCAGAUGCAGAAGCUGAAAGAUAUCUAGAAAGAAAUUAGGCAGCAGAAGCUAUGAGUAGAAGCCAUGAGGUAGAGCAAAGACAUUCAGGUAAGAAAGUGGUUAGUAACUGCAGAAUGGCAAAGGCAGAGGCAGCCAGGCCCUGUGGAGAGGAUUAACUUAUUCUUGAGAAGGAAAAGUUAAUCUUAUUGAUAGAAGUGGGUGGGUUCCUGAAUAAUCCUCCAGUUUCAUAAAUGUAUUAGAGUCUCUGGAGGCCCAGGAGUAUGGCUGUUCCUACAUUCCUACACCUUUAUCUCAGUUCCCAGGGUGGGGAAGUGAUACAUGGUGUGUGUG